rnacentral:rRNA from 1 species
ACUGCUCAGUAACACGUGGACAACCUGCCCUUUAGGUUGGGUAUAAACCCGGGAAACUGGGUAUAAUACCCGAUAGGUCUCGAUUGCUGGAAUGCAUCGAGAUUUAAAGCUCCGGCGCCUAAGGAUGGGUCUGCGGCCUAUCAGGUAGUAGUGGGUGUAGCGUACCUACUAGCCUACGACGGGUACGGGUUGUGAGAGCAAGAGCCCGGAGAUGGAUUCUGAGACACGAAUCCAGGCCCUACGGGGUGCAGCAGGCGCGAAAACUUUACAAUGCUGGCAACAGCGAUAAGGGAACCUCGAGUGCCAGGUUACAAAUCUGGCUGUCGAGAUGCCUAAAAAGCAUUUCAUAGCAAGGGCCGGGCAAGACCGGUGCCAGCCGCCGCGGUAACACCGGCGGCUCGAGUGGUAACCGUUAUUAUUGGGUCUAAAGGGUCUGUAGCCGGCCGGAUAAGUCUCUUGAGAAAUCUGGCAGCUUAACUGUCAGGCUUUCAGGAGAUACUGUCUGGCUCGAGGCCGGGAGAGGUGAGAGGUACUUCAGGGGUAGGGGUGAAAUCUUGUAAUCCUUGAAGGACCACCAGUGGCGAAGGCGUCUCACCAGAACGGACCUGACGGCAAGGGACGAGAGCUAGGGGCACGAACCGGAUUAGAUACCCGGGUAGUCCUAGCCGUAAACGAUACUCGCUAGGUGUCGGCCACGGUGCGACCGUUGUCGGUGCCGUAGGGAAGCCGUGAAGCGAGCCACCUGGGAAGUACGGCCGCAAGGCUGAAACUUAAAGGAAUUGGCGGGGGAGCAC